rnacentral:piRNA from 1 species
UAACCAGACAUCCCAGACCUCCUGGACGAGC